AACGAACGCUGGCGGCAUGCCUAACACAUGCAAGUCGAACGAGACCUUCGGGUCUAGUGGCGCACGGGUGCGUAACGCGUGGGAACCUGCCCUUAGGUUCGGAAUAACUCCCCGAAAGGGGUGCUAAUACCGGAUAAUGUCUUCGGACCAAAGAUUUAUCGCCUUUGGAUGGGCCCGCGUUGGAUUAGCUAGUUGGUAGGGUAAAAGCCUACCAAGGCGACGAUCCAUAGCUGGUCUGAGAGGAUGAUCAGCCACACUGGGACUGAGACACGGCCCAGACUCCUACGGAAGGCAGCAGUGGGGAAUAUUGGACAAUGGGCGAAAGCCUGAUCCAGCAAUGCCGCGUGAGUGAUGAAGGCCUUAGGGUUGUAAAGCUCUUUUACCCGGGAUGAUAAUGGCAGUACCGGGAGAAUAAGCUCCGGCUAACUCCGUG
rnacentral:rRNA from 1 species